GCCUUUCCUGAGAGCAAAAGUUACCCAUGUCCUUUUUCUAGACGGCUUAUGUGGGUGUAACCAAGUCUGGCCCCCAAACCAGGCUCCAAGCCAGAUGUGGAAAAAGAAGUAUGUCAGUAGUGGCGCAAAGAUAAAAGCCAUCUCUUGGAUCUAAGACUCAAGGCACAAGGCUAUCUCUCUCAGAACCGGGAGCGGUCCCCGAGGACUCUUCGUGCGAGCUGCUCUCCCCUCAGCUCACUGUGAGGAAAAAACAUCACCAGAGUCGCCUAUGUCCCUCAGUGGAGCCAAGAUUGACGUGAUGCUGCCUGAGAUGCUCACAUGCCCCAGGGAGCUCAUGCAGGGGCUGGAGGACAGCCGUACCCCCACCCCCACCCCCCCGGAAACUGCAGCACCUGAACACUGAAUGAGAGAAGCCCUCGAGGAGUUCUUCCGACCUUAAUCUUUCAGGGUGUCAUUAAGAGGCUGACAACAGGAAAGCUUAAAUCCUGCUUGGGUUGGUCCAAGGUGUAAUUGACCAAGCUUUUACAAAAGGGAACUUCAGGGUCCCUGUGUCCCACUCAGCUGUCAAGUGGAUUAACCAGGACUAAAAAGACAGCCCUUUGAACACCCAUAGCGCCAAAACGAAAGAAUUAAAUCAGUGAAGUAUUAGUGUUUUUUUGUACUCAAAGAUAAAAUUAAAUACUUAAUAUUUGUCUGUCGCAUACCAAAGCAAAUUACACAAAAUAACCCGAAAUGAAAUACUUAAUUAGCUGCUCUGAAAUAGAUUUGUUCUCAAGCCAUUAAUCUAAUUAGCACACACAACUUCCCUUUUGCAGCACUUGCCUUGUUUAUGCAUGAGGCCAACACACAGCUCACAUUUGUCUACUUAUGUAUGCGUAUAUUUCUAAGAGCCUCCUCCUUGUAGUACAGACUAUUUUCUGCUCCCUUGCCUCCCACAUUUGUGAGUAACAUUCAUUAUCCACAAAACAAAAUAAAGAAAUUGGUCCGAAUGAGAAACAUUGGAUGUUUCAAAGUGCACAGAGAAGGGGCUAUUUUUCCAACAUGCAUUGCAGAUGUGGCAGCUGAGUGCAAGUGCACACACAAACUCUAAAUGAACAGCCUGCAUAACCGUGACAAUUAUACGUUGCAAUAUGUUCUGCUCCUACUAAUCAACUCAGGAAGCUCCAAGGAAGGAAAAAAAAAAGAUGGUCGUUUUGUUCUUUUAAAUAUUGCAGCUUAUGGACUCUACCUGCUUACUGAUAAAUUUGACAUUAUUGAAAAAUAGUAAAAUAAAUUUAGAAACGAAAAUGAUUCCCACUGAAAAAUUACAUAAUUAACAUUUUGAAGGCGGAGGGAAUGGGGAAUAGCUGAGACAAUACAAGUACAAUACUGCCAUCUAGAGGUAUCCAUGGGAAAGUACAUCCUAUUUUAAAAGGUUCGGAUUGCUUUAUUCCAGAGAUGUAAAAGAAGCAAAAUUUAAAGGUCUGCUGGUCUAUCUGAUAAUGACAGGAAAAGGAGACUUGGAAUUCUAAAUAAUGAGAUCCCUAUUAUUCUUACAUGGCUUAAAUCAGAGCUCUCCAAGCUUUUAUCAUGUCUUUGGACCCUGGGGUAUCUGGGAGUUUGAAAAAGAGGGCGUGGUUCUUGCCCAGGCAGAGCGGGCUGGAGUCACAAACUCAGACCACCCGGGCAGGCAGGAACCUGAAUACAUGAACGAGGCCAGGCUUAGAGGUGCCUGGUCUUCUUUUUUUGUUUUUGUGUUUGUUUCAGGCCAUCUGAAAGUUUGUAUUUGUAUGUGAAGCCUCCAGGUAUUUAAUUUGGCCACUUUCAAAAAAUGUAACUGUGCAGUGUGAAUAAAACAUGCCUGA
ensembl:lncRNA